AGAGUUUGAUCCUGGCUCAGGAUGAACGCUAGCGGCAGGCUUAACACAUGCAAGUCGAGGGGUAGAGGUUGCUUGCAACCUUGAGACCGGCGCACGGGUGCGUAACGCGUAUGCAACCUACCUUUUACAGAGGGAUAGCCCAGAGAAAUUUGGAUUAAUACCUCAUAGUAUAUAUCUUUCGCAUGUUAGGUAUAUUAAAGUUCCAACGGUAAAAGAUGGGCAUGCGUCCUAUUAGCUAGAUGGUAAGGUAACGGCUUACCAUGGCUACGAUAGGUAGGGGUCCUGAGAGGGAGAUCCCCACACUGGUACUGAGACACGGACCAGACUCCUACGGGAGGCAGCAGUGAGGAAUAUUGGACAAUGGGCGCAAGCCUGAUCCAGCCAUGCCGCGUGCAGGAAGAAGCAUCUAUGGUGUGUAAACUGCUUUUGUACAGGAAGAAACAUCCCGACGUGUCGGGACUUGACGGUACUGUAAGAAUAAGGAUCGGCUAACUCCGUGCCAGCAGCCGCGGUAAUACGGAGGAUCCAAGCGUUAUCCGGAAUCAUUGGGUUUAAAGGGUCCGUAGGCGGUUUGGUAAGUCAGUGGUGAAAGCCCGCAGCUCAACUGUGGAACGGCCAUUGAUACUGCCAGACUUGAAUUACAAGGAAGUAACUAGAAUAUGUAGUGUAGCGGUGAAAUGCUUAGAUAUUACAUGGAAUACCAAUUGCGAAGGCAGGUUACUACUUGUGGAUUGACGCUGAUGGACGAAAGCGUGGGGAGCGAACAGGAUUAGAUACCCUGGUAGUCCAA
rnacentral:rRNA from 1 species